GCCAGGACAUUACCUCUUAAUACCUUUUCGGUACUGUAUGUUGCAGCAGAAAGAAAGAAGAAAUAAAACAGAAACAAUCAAAUACGUGGAUCAGGUAAAAAAAGACUCACCUCCACGGAACAUCCAAACUUCACUAUGAGAAAAGAGAAAAAAAAAUUACAAAAGGAGAUCACAUCCUCAACCCUCGUACACCCAAUCUCUCCUUCACAGAAAAUUCUCCCUCACAAAAGCUCUCUCUAGGAAGAUUCUCCUGAACCCCUGAAGCGACCGCUGUCCGCUGUCCAGAAAUCUUCCUGCUCCUACUCCUCUCAGCAUCUCGCCGCCUCUCUCUCUCUCCGUGGGUUCUUUGAUUUUCCGCAGAAGGAAACCACACACACGACUUUCUGUUACAUGAUCAAAGCCUCAUAAAGGCUUAAAACCUAAAAUAAAUUGAAGUAGGACUCCUUAGAGCACCCAAACAAACCCUCUGGAUUGUUGGAUCACAACUGGGAGCGCCUAGGACCGUUAGAUCACGAUUCGGUCCACGAAAUAAGGUGUAGACCAUGAGAAAUGAUCCAGAAACGGUAUUCG
rnacentral:lncRNA from 1 species